GAUGAACGCUGGCGGCGUGCCUAAUACAUGCAAGUCGAGCGAACGGACGCGAAGCUUGCUUCUCUGAUGUUAGCGGCGGACGGGUGAGUAACACGUGGAUAACCUACCUAUAAGACUGGGAUAACUUCGGGAAACCGGAGCUAAUACCGGAUAAUAUUUUGAACCGCAUGGUUCAAAAGUAAAAGACGGUCUUGCUGUCACUUAUAGAUGGAUCCGCGCUGCAUUAGCUAGUUGGUAGGGUAAUGGCUUACCAAGGCAACGAUGGAUAGCCGACCUGAGAGGGGGGUCGGCCGCACGAGAGCUGAGACGCGGUGCAGACUCCUACGGGAGGCAGCAGUAGGGAAUCUUCCGCAAUGGGCGAAGGCAUGACGGAGCAGCGCCGCGUGAGUGAUGAAGGUCUUCGGAUCGUAAAACACUGCUAUUAGGGAAGAAGAUAUGUGUAAGUAUCUGUGCACAGCUUGACGGUACCUAGUCAGAAAGCCACGGCUAACUACGUG
rnacentral:rRNA from 1 species